CAAAUUUUGAUCUGAAAUCAGGUAGGGCUACCCGCUGAACUUAAGCAUAUCAAUAAGCGGAGGAAAAGAAACUAACAAGGAUUCCCCUAGUAACGGCGAGUGAAGCGGGAAGAGCUCAAAUUUAAAAUCUGGUUUGCUUUGCAAAUCCGAGUUGUAGUCUGAAGAAACGUUUUCCAUGAAAGCUGAGGCACAAGUCCUUUGGAACAGGGCAUCAUAGAGGGUGAGAAUCCCGUCCAUGGUCUCAAGCCUUUCAUUUUGUGAUACGUUUUCUAAGAGUCAGGUUGUUUGGGAAUGCAGCCUAAAAUGGGUGGUAAAUUUCAUCUAAAGCUAAAUAUUGGCGAGAGACCGAUAGCGAACAAGUACCGUGAGGGAAAGAUGAAAAGAACUUUGAAAAGAGAGUUAAAAAGUACGUGAAAUUGUUGAAAGGGAACCGUUUGAAGCCAGUCUUGCUUGCUUGUGAUCAAUCUUUGCUUCGGCUUGGAUGCACUCUCAGGUUAUGCAGGUCAACGUCAGUUUGAGAGGUGGGAAAAAAGCUUGAGGAAUGUGGCCUUUGGGUGUUAUAGCCUCUUGCUAAAUACCAUCUUUUGGACUGAGGCUCGCAGCAAAAAUGUGGGCAGGUUUGCGUUUGAGGUGAUACAUUAUUAAGACAGCUUGCUGACUUAGUUUUGUCUAUCUUCACUGUAAGCUUCGCUUCUAAUUUGCUUAGGUCGUUGACAUAAUGGCUUUAAAUGACCCGUCUUGAAACACGGACCAAGGAGUCUAACAUAUAUGCGAGUAUUUGGGUGGCAAACCCACAUGCGCAAUGAAAGUGAAAUUAGGUGCCAAACUCUCACGAGUGGCAGCAUCGGCCGGCUCUGACGUUUCUAACUGACGAGUCUGAGCAGAAGCAUACAUGUUGGGACCCGAAAGAUGGUGAACUAUGCCUGAAUAGGGUGAAGCCAGAGGAAACUCUGGUGGAGGCUCGUAGCGAUUCUGACGUGCAAAUCGAUCGUCAAAUUUGGGUAUAGGGGCGAAAGACUAAUCGAACCAUCUUGUAGCUGGUUCCUGCCGAAGUUUCCCUCAGGAUAGC
rnacentral:rRNA from 1 species